CGCUCGGCACCUGGCAUGAGGCCGCAGGUGGGGAGGAGGUCCCGCAGCCCGGCCUGGCUCUCCCGCAGCAGGUCCUGGGGCUCCGGGGCAGCUCCAGCACCAGCACCAGCACCAGCACCAGCACGAGGAGCCGAGUACAGGCGCCGGUGUCCGCCGCAGCCCGUCCAUGUGGAAGAGCAGACACUUGUUGACAGGAAACUCGAUGGCCACCAUUCAUGGCGUUUAACUAAUCAAACAACCACAAACUGUCACUGCCACUUUCAUUUCCUACCAUCAUUCAUUGUCUGAAGCUGCUCAUUAUUUAUCACUCAAGUUUGAUGUCCCGUGUCUCUGUUCCAAAAGGAGAAACUACACUUGCUCUGCUCAUAGGUGCUGGAAAAGACACGGAGGAGGCUGUGAAGGCUUGCAAGCUAGUUUAUGGCUUUUACUUUGUGUCAUUCAUCAGUGGAUUUUAGAAACUA